rnacentral:tRNA from 1 species
GACCCCCUACCGCAAUGGUAGCGUGUCUGACUCCACAUCAGAAGGUUGCAUGUUCAAAUCACAUCGGGUUCA